rnacentral:rRNA from 1 species
UACGGGGGGAGCAAGCGUUGUUCGGAUUUACUGGGCGUAAAGGGCGCGUAGGCGGCGCAACAAGUCACUUGUGAAAUCUCCGGGCUUAACCCGGAGCGGCCAAGUGAUACUGUCGUGCUAGAGUGCGGAAGGGGCUACUGGAAUUCUCGGUGUAGCGGUGAAAUGCGUAGAUAUCGAGAGGAACACCUGAGGUGAAGACGGGUUGCUGGGCCGACACUGACGCUGAGUGCGCGAAAGCCAGGGGAGCAAACGGG